rnacentral:lncRNA from 1 species
AGCUGUUUGCUAUGAGUGCUUGAUAUGGGAGAGGGAUAGCUCAGGCUGGGUUUUUGCCUGUGGCUGCUGCUGUAGGCUAGACUGCAAGACAGGAGCUGUGGGGAGCGUAGGGGUUUUUGUCAGCUUUGCACAGACCCCUUUCUGCAGGAACUGGAGGCUGUGUGAUUGGAGAGCGAUGCCACUAAUGGGAGCCUACUUGUACUUUGUCCAAAGGAAAGAGAUUGACUGUUUCACUAAACAAGAAGUGCUCACAUCAGAGGUCUGCAGUUCAGCUCCUUUGCAGAGAGGAUUUUAAUCCAAGUUGGAGUAGGUAGCUCUGACCCAUCAGUCAUCACAUGGCACUAAUAAUUGAAUCUUAGUCAAAUGGCCUCUUCUGAAUCUCACAGCUGCUUCCAUUUAAGCUAGUGUUAUGGCUGCUAGUAGCUAUGCAAAGCCCACAGUUUGAAAGAAGGCAGCACAUGAUUUAACUCAUCUGUGGGCAAGGGGGAGACCACUUCAGAGAUAGGUGGACAAAUAAACUGAUACUGUACUUUUUUUUAGGGUUUUUG